CCCGAGCUGGUGUAAUGGUUAUCACGUCAAGGUCACCAGGGAAGUCUACAGCGCGGAACUGGCCCGAAAGGGCGGAAGAUCCGGAUUCGAGUCCUGGGUUCGGGA